rnacentral:sRNA from 1 species
GCUGGGCACAGUGGUGCAAGCCUGUAAUCCCAGUAGCUCAGGAGGCUGAGGCAGGAGGAUUGCGAAUUCAAAGCCAGCCUCAGCAAAAGUGAGGUACUAAGCAACUCAGUGGGAUCCUGUCUCUA